UACGGGAGGCAGCAGUGGGGAAUAUUGCACAAUGGGCGCAAGCCUGAUGCAGCCAUGCCGCGUGUAUGAAAAAGGCCUUUCGGGUUGUAAAGUACUUUCAGUCGUGAGGAAGGUGUUAAGGUUAAUAACCUUAGCAAUUGACGUUAGCGACAGAAGAAGCACCGGCUAACUCCGUGCCAGCAGCCGCGGUAAUACGGAGGGUGCGAGCGUUAAUCGGAAUUACUGGGCGUAAAGGGCACGCAGGCGGUUAAUUAAGUUGGAUGUGAAAUCCCCGGGCUUAACCUGGGAAUGGCAUUCAAGACUGGUUAGCUAGAGUCUUGUAGAGGGGGUAGAAUUCCAUGUGUAGCGGUGAAAUGCGUAGAGAUGUGGAGGAAUACCGGUGGCGAAGGCGGCCCCUGGACAAAGACUGACGCUCAUGUGCGAAAGCGUGGGGAGCAAACGAGGGAUUAGGAUACC
rnacentral:rRNA from 1 species